rnacentral:rRNA from 1 species
GAUGAACGCUGGCGGCGUGCUUAACACAUGCCAGUCGAACGGAAAGGCCGAAGCUUGCUUCGGUACUCGAGUGGCGAACGGGUGAGUAACACGUGGGUGAUCUGCCCUUUACUUCGGGAUAGGCUUGGGAAACUGGGUCUAAUACCGGAUAUGACGAUCUCUUGGAUGGGGUUGUGGAAAGCUUUUGCGGUAUGGGAUGAGCUCGCGGCCUAUCAGCUUGUUGGUGGGGUAAUGGCCUACCAAGGCGUCGACGGGUAGCCGGCCUGAGAGGGUGUACGGCCACAUUGGGACUGAGAUACGGCCCAGACUCCUACGGGAGGCAGCAGUGGGGAAUAUUGCACAAUGGGCGCAAGCCUGAUGCAGCGACGCCGCGUGGGGGAUGACGGCCUUCGGGUUGUAAACUCCUUUCGCAAUCGACGAAGCCUUUUGGUGACGGUAGGUUGAGAAGAAGCACCGGCUAACUACGUG